rnacentral:lncRNA from 1 species
CCAGAAAGUAUUUUUGCUUUCCAGUCUCUCUAGUGAAGAAAGGCAGGGAAGGAGCAGGAUGGCUGUAAAGUGGCCAACUCAAAGUGUUUGCCACUGAACUGAGUCUUACAAUAAAAUAGGGAAUGCUACCAAGACCCCCAAAGAGUGAUCUGUACAUUCAGUGAAUUUGAUUUCAUCUUAUCUUAGAAAUGAUCACGAAUACUGAGUGAAUUUGUUUUUACAGGUUCCUUUAAAAACAUUCCGUUAACCAAAAGCCGUAUGAUUGUUUGAGGAGGCACACAUCCAUUAAAAUGAAUAUGUCGGGGAGAUGCCAAUCAGAAGACGGCUGAAGAAUUAUUGCUAAAUGGAGACAGGCAAGGUUGUGUGGCGAAGAUGCUGUUUGAGGCGGUCUUGGAGGAGGGCCAACCACUUGCAGAGUAAGGAUGAGCUGGAGCUCCUGGGGGCCCAGUCACCAUCUAAGAAGCCUGAAGAUGUUUCCAUUGCCAUCUCAUUAUCAGUUCCUUUCAGAACAACUGAAAGAAAGAAAAGACAGAUUUAUUUGCCGAAGCGAUAGAGAAGGAUAUUAGGACAAACGUCUAUGUGGAAAAAACAAUCCAACGUACACAUUUCUUGGGUGAAAAGAUACACAGCGUUUUCAGAGGCUUUCCCCCCGCUCAUCUUAAUGAAGGUGAAUUAUUUAACACAGUUAAAUAAUCUCCAGUUUUCAAUUUAAUGAGACUUACCAGCCCUACGUUUGGCACAUUCUCUUCUAUUAAGCUUUCAGCUAAACCCCAGAGAUAAAAGGUGUUUUACUUCAAAGAAAUCUGAUUUGUUUUUUAUCUAGUAUAUUCAACUGGCAUAAAUUCAGGCAUACCACAUCAGACCUCAGUGAAAUCUGUGUUAGAAGUUUCCCUUUGUUUUCAAAGUCCUUAUAAAUAGAUUUCUUCCAAGCUAUACCUGGUCUUUGUGAACAGAAUGAGUAAGGUUUGAGUGUGUAGGUAAACACAUUUGUAGGAGUCUGUAGAUUUAGGGCCUGGACUGUUAAGGCAGAUCUGGAAAAUAUAAGAGAAUAGCUAAGUAAACUAAAAAAAUAUUAGAGAAUAAAUAGGUUUUUUUAAAAAAUAGAAAGUCA